CCUACGGGGUGCAGCAGUGGGGAAUAUUGGACAAUGGGCGAAAGCCUGAUCCAGCCAUGCCGCGUGUGUGAAGAAGGCCUUCGGGUUGUAAAGCACUUUCAGUGGGGAAGAAAGCCUUGGGGCUAAUACCCUCGAGGAAGGACAUCACCCACAGAAGAAGCACCGGCUAACUCCGUGCCAGCAGCCGCGGUAAUACGGAGGGUGCGAGCGUUAAUCGGAAUUACUGGGCGUAAAGCGCGCGUAGGCGGUCUGAUAAGCCGGUUGUGAAAGCCCCGGGCUCAACCUGGGAACGGCAUCCGGAACUGUCAGGCUAGAGUGCAGGAGAGGAAGGUAGAAUUCCCGGUGUAGCGGUGAAAAGCGUAGAGAUCGGGAGGAAUACCAGUGGCGAAGGCGGCCUUCUGGACUGACACUGACGCUGAGGUGCGAAAGCGUGGGUAGCAAACAGGAUUAGAUACCCUUGUAGUC
rnacentral:rRNA from 1 species